rnacentral:rRNA from 1 species
UACGUAGGGGGCAAGCGUUGUCCGGAUUUAUUGGGCGUAAAGAGCGUGUAGGCGGCUUGGUAGGUCCGCUGUGAAAACUCGAGGCUCAACCUCGAGAUGUCGGCGGAAACCACUUGGCUAGAGUCCGGAAGAGGAGAGUGGAAUUCCUGGUGUAGCGGUGAAAUGCGCAGAUAUCAGGAAGAACACCUAUGGCGAAGGCGGUCUGCUGGGCAGUUGCUGACGCUGAUGCGCGACAGCGUGGGGAGCAAACAGG